UACGUAGGGGGCAAGCGUUGUCCGGAUUUACUGGGCGUAAAGAGCGCGCAGGCGGUCGUUCAAGUCGAGUGUGAAAGCCCCCGGCUCAACUGGGGAGGGUCAUUCGAUACUGAUCGACUGGAAGGCAGGAGAGGGAAGCGGAAUUCCCGGUGUAGUGGUGAAAUGCGUAGAUAUCGGGAGGAACACCAGUGGCGAAGGCGACUACCUGGCCUGUUCUUGACGCUGAGGCGCGAAAGCUAGGGGAGCAAACGGG
rnacentral:rRNA from 1 species